UCACAACCCGGCAAGGUUCAUGAUCAUUUCCCUUGUUUGUUUACGUAGUUUAUCAUCCAUCCUUUAUGUCAUGUGAUUUUAGAUUAAUUCUGUGGUUUUUGUGUUGUUAUAUUAGAUCCUUAAGAAGUGCAACUUUUUUAUGUGGAUGGAUGAGUACAUCGAAUGGUUGCGCUUGAGUGGUAUGACUAAACAGACAUGGUCCAGUUUUGAGCAAGAACAAGGUGCUACGCAAUUGAUGGUGAAUAAUUGUGGAGCAGAGUUAUGUGGUGCAGAUAAAGGAGAUGUGUCUGUGAAGUUGGACAUUCUAGCAAUUGAAUUGAUGAAGAUAAAUGGCAACCUCAACAAAAUUAUUUACAUUUUAGUCAUUUGUGCUUUUAUGAUAUUUGUUGUUUUACUUUUUAUUAUGAACCAAG
rnacentral:lncRNA from 1 species